AUCCGGGUCAAAGACAAGGGGGCUGGAGCGACCGAGGGGCAUGUUCUGUUGAUAGAAGAUUCUGGAGUGUGGACAGUUAAAACUUUUUGUGGGCUUCGAAGUUAACAUGCGAAUGUGUGUCAGUAUCCGACUCUGAGUGGGCCACAGGCUGCCCUGGGUACAGGGAAACGAGGGGGGUGGGAGCCUGCGGCCAGCGUUCCAGGCCUCUGCCAGCGCCGCAUCUCGACGCUACAGAGCCAAGCUCGGGGAUCGGCAUGAGGACCCCAGUACCAGCAGUAGCCACACCCGCCUCCCUCGGGGCUGUUUCCCGUCCUCCUCAGACCCGCUCACCGUGGGCUCCUGGCGGCCUCUGCAGCUUUUCAGCAAGCAGAGAUGGUGGGCGCCACUCGCCGAUCCUCACAAACCAAAACCUCGCGCGACAAAAACGAAGGCGGCCCCGGAAGUGCGUCAUCACACUGACUGGUGAACCCAUACACUCUCUGGAUUUCUCUCUAGGACUCGUGGAGGACCCCACAUCUUGGUGCUUCCCUCCUAAUUCCCGUGAGGAAAAGGGCACGCUGGCGAGAUAGGCUCUUGGCGUUCCUCCAGAGCCCAGUUCUGAGUUGAGGCACCUUGCUCAUGACGCUGCAUCAUCGUACCAACCUUGAAUACUGGCUUCCAGUGCCUUUAUUACUGUGCUACAAUAACUGCAACUACAAGUCUUACCCAGAAUAUGCAAGAAAAUGUGAAUGGUUAUACGUUUUAUUGAUCUUGUUAAAUUUAGCAUUUGGAUUGUUAUAGCAUAAUGAACGAAUCACACAUUAUACAACCAGGACUUCUCUUGAAUUGCUGUAAUGAUUGCACUCCUAGAAUGUGAUGUCUUUCAAUGUUGCUGACGCCUCUCACUUCCAUACAUUACCACUAGCAGAGAGGAUUAGCAAUGGACCAUGGGCAAAGUGAGAGCAGUCAGUUUACCCAAGAAAUAUUCAUCCCCUGUCCAGCAGAGCUUAACACUGUCCCAGGAAAACAGCAUGACUACAUCAAUCAGAGGGUUUUUAAAAGUGUGAUUCUUUUUGAAAAAUCAAGAAAUUCACCUUCUCACGAUGUAGAAAACUGAAAAGUGCAUGGCCUCACCCUUACAACAACAAAAAACAGCCAGAUAAUCUAAAAUUUUCUCUUGAACACAUCAGAAAGCUAAGAUCUGGGGGCAAACGACUUAAUCUAAAAUCUGAUGUAAGACAGGCACUUUCAAGAAGAGAUGGUUGUAAGCACUUGUUUACAUAGGACAGAUGCCAUUGGAUGCCAUGUAAGCUGUUAAGGAGAAAUCAGCUAAAAUGUUUAAUGAGUUGCUGAGGUCCAAGUGUUGGCUAGCCUGAGAAUAUAGAGACUACAGAACUCCUGUGAACCACAGACACAAGCAGAAUUUCCACCCACUUGUAUAUUCUUCUCUAUGGACAUCAUCAAAUGUGUGCACACACACAUACACACAUACAAUUGAAGGUAAGGCAAGAAGAAUCUUAUGAAAACCUUCCCGCUAGAAAAGACAUGAAUCCCCAUCCAGGUCCUUCUCUCCUAUUUCCCCUACAGAACAAAAGCCCUAAGCCUCUGAGGAUGAAAAAGCAAAUCUUGUCACCCUUAGGGACUGGUUAAGAUCCAGUGGAACUGAAGGGAAUAAAGAGAACAAAAAGCUCUCCAUUCACGAAAUAGCGGUAGAAUUGCAUCCUGGUUCCAGACCAUGGAGGUGUCCUACAGCUGAGGAUAGGGCAACAUCACUUAAUAGACCCCACCCUUAAGUCUCAGAGACACAGUGCCUACCUAAGAUUAAAGCUGAAUCACAACAGAAAAUGCCAUCCCUUCUACCACCACCAAAAUAUCAAAUGCUGAGUCAAUAAGAACAGCAAUCUACUGCUAAAAGAAGGAUAAAAACAUGGAGAAAGACCCCUCUCUGAGGUACAGGAAUGAAGGGAAGGCCUAAAGGUAAGAGUGGUGCAAACAUUGAGAAAAUCUCCUUUAGCAAACCAUCCCACACACUAAACUUAAGGUAAUACUAGAAGAAUUUGAAGCCUGUGGAUAACCAUAGCAACAAAAACACCUAAACACAGUUUAACUCCUGAUUAGAUCAACUCAAGCCUUCACAAUAAAGAUCUACCGAAAGAAAAAGUA
rnacentral:lncRNA from 10 species